CCGUGUGCUGGGGAUCGGGCGGCAAACAAAAACACAAAUGUCAGCCCGGCCGGCCGCUCCCAACUGCAACUUUUUCCGAGCGACGAAGGCGUCGAUUGAAACACAAUCGUUUAUCAUUCCCAGCUCUUCUGAAACUGGACCAGAUAACAACAACAAAAAUGCAUUUUUUUUCCUCAUCGGCUGAAAAUAUUUCCAAUUUAUAAAUCAGAAAACAAUGUCCAUUAAUCUUUCCCCAAAAGUUGUUUUCGAUUUCUACCCCGUUGAUCCCAAAACGGGACCUUCUCAAUUGAGCCGUGUUCCCUUUUUCGGUUUGGUCCAGAAUAUCGCUCGGGAAAUGGCCUGCAAAAUGUUGAUGAGCGAUUUGCAAAGUAAAAGCUGCCCGUCUCAAACGUCUCAUUUCACAAAUCAAAACCUCGUCGGACUGCUUUCACGUCGGACGACCGAUCUUGGCGACAUUUCCUGCAUUUGGAUCAUUUGAAGUAAAACAAUGCGCUUCUCCACGAAUUUGUUCGUCUUGUCAACUGGGGGAUUCAUUUUCACCUCUGGACAAGAAUGAUACGGAAUUGAGCCUGCUUUGUGUCGAACCGGUGAUCGUUAGUCCUCGUUGGCUCCCCCUUGAUCCUAUGAAACGUUGCUUCUCAUUUUGGGGGUGGCGACCUUGCGCUCGUGUGUGCGUCUCCUCAAUACAAACGUCCCAAAUUCACGAACAAGACUCACACGAGGACGAGUGUGGUCUUUUUGCCGUGUUCUUUUCAGAUGAGAUGACGGAAAGCAGGUCACAAUGCCCUGCUUGUGCUCGCCCGAGUUCAAACCCGCGACGCGGAAAGAUUGGAGUCACAAUUGAACAGGCUCGCCCUCCGACGGAAGGGGGCGCCGUUGGGCCACAGCAGCUGCAGACUUGUUGUGACGACCGAGCGCCAGCAGGUACAACAGGCUGUAUCCCACCCACAGAGUUUGCAUCCCCUGCGGACACGAUGGAGGCGCUCUGGACUGGCUGUGGAUGACCAUUAGGAAGCCCGCGUUCAAGGGUUUGGAUGGUCCAGGGGCUCCACGGUCUCCGGUCAAACCGGGAUCACCUGAGCACAUGAAGUCAGGUCGAGCAGAGCCCGGUCCGGUGCUCAUCAGAUGUCCCGCCCACUCGUCCUCCUGCGGCCAAUGAGGAGCCCGUGAUGCUGCGCACAAGGUCAACAUAUCCCAUGUUCUCCGCAUCAGGUCACGUG